UUUAAUUAAAAUAAACUCAAAAUUAUUAAUUAUAAUGUCUAAACUAUAAAUUAAUAAUUAUAAUAUAUAUUUUCUUGGUAAAAUAUAUUGUAAUAUAUUAAAAUACCCUAACCAGUAACCAUAGCAGUAACCCUAAACCUAAAUCCCUAACUCUAUUUCUUAAUUUUCUUCUGGCUUCUGAAUCUGGAGACUGGAAUUUUGUUCACCGCAUCGUCGUGCCUGUCUAGCCGUGUUGCUCGCCGUCCAGCCAUGCCUCCACACCAUCUAGUCGUCCCCUGCUCGCCUCGCAUCAAGCCCGAAGCCUGCUCGCCUUCUCACAUCCAGCCUCGCCGCCCUUGCUUGCCUUACAUCAAGCCCCACAGGCUCUGCUCGCCACCACUCCGCUGCCUCUCGUGAAGCCUUGCAGCUGCGCUGCCCCUAUUCACCACCUCCGUCCAACCUCGCCGCCCCUGCUCACCUCAUGUCCAGCCCCACCACCCUUGCUCACCUUACGUCCAGCCCUGUAGGCCCAGCUCGUCGCUAGUUCCCUGCCUCUGCUCGUCGCCUCGUGUGAAGCCCCGUAGCUGUGCCGCCCUUGCUCGCCACCUUAGGUCCAGUCCCGUCGCCCUUGCUCGAAAACAUAGGGAAACAAAAAAGAUGAAAAAAAUUUGAGACGAAGGAGAUGCUCUCAAUUUUUAUUUUACUUUGUCUAUAUUAUGAUUGCCACACAUCACAUAUGAUAAUUUGAAAGAGAAAUAAAAAAUUAUUAAAGUUACCAGCCUUCUGUUCCAUUGACAAGUACUCC
rnacentral:lncRNA from 1 species